rnacentral:tRNA from 1 species
AAUUAUAUAGUAUAUCACAGUAUAUUUGAUUUCCAAUCAUAAGGACUAACUUAAUUAGUAUAAUUA